CUACGGGACGCUCCAGUAAAGAAUCUUCCACAAUGGGCGAAAGCCUGAUGGAGCGACACCGCGUGCAGGAUGACGGUCUUCGGAUUGUAAACUGCUUUUCUGGGGGAAUAAUUAUGAAGGUACCCUAGGAAUAAGCACCGGCUAAUCACGUGCCAGCAGCCGCGGUAAUACGUGAGGUGCAAACGUUACCCGGAAUCAUUGGGCGUAAAGCGUCCGCAGGCGGCGCAGUAAGUUAGAUGUUAAAUCUUGAGGCUCAACUUCAAGUUCGUAUCUGAAACUGCUGUGCUAGAGAAUCGGAGAGGUGAAUGGAAUUCUAUAUGUAGGGGUAAAAUCCGUAGAUAUAUAGAGGAACACCAAAAGCGAAGGCAGUUCACUGGCCGAUUUCUGACGCUCAUGGACGAAAGCGUGGGGAGCAAACGGGAUUAGAUACCCUAGUAGUC
rnacentral:rRNA from 1 species